CUCUCCUUCCUGGGGACAGGACGGUGGGACUGGCAGGCUAAGGCUGUACAUGAGAGGGAGCCGACACUGGACUCCUGAUUUCACCAGACAGGUAAAGUGUGACUGAGAGAGGAGAAGCGACCUUCUCAACGCCCCAAGACCAGUGGGUGGCAGAGCCGGAUGUUGAACUCACAUUUCUUUGACACCCAAGCCUGCACUUGUUGAACCGCCCAGGCAGGCAGGUUUCUAACUCUACACCUCUAGGAAACUGAGGAUGGGAGAAUGAGGAACUCAAACCUUCUACAAGGUUCUCAGCACCUGGAGAUCCGCAGCCAGUUUUCAU